rnacentral:rRNA from 1 species
AACGAACGCUGGCGGCAGGCUUAACACAUGCAAGUCGAACGCCCCGCAAGGGGAGUGGCAGACGGGUGAGUAACGCGUGGGAAUCUACCCAAUUCUACGGAACAACUGAGGGAAACUUCAGCUAAUACCGUAUACGCCCUACGGGGGAAAGAUUCAUCGGAAUUGGAUGAGCCCGCGUUGGAUUAGCUAGUUGGUGGGGUAAUGGCCUACCAAGGCGACGAUCCAUAGCUGGUCUGAGAGGAUGAUCAGCCACACUGGGACUGAGACACGGCCCAGACUCCUACGGGAGGCAGCAGUGGGGAAUAUUGGACAAUGGGCGAAAGCCUGAUCCAGCCAUGCCGCGUGAGUGAUGAAGGCCUUAGGGUUGUAAAGCUCUUUCAGUGGGGAAGAUAAUGACGGUACCCACAGAAGAAGCCCCGGCUAACUUCGUGCCAGCCGCCGCCGUAA